rnacentral:lncRNA from 1 species
UGGGAGGUAAGGCUGAGGAGCCGUUCUGGCCCUUCUGCCCACCCCACAGACUCUCUGGGGUGGGACCCCCUUCCAGGGAGGCUGGAGGGUCACACUGUCCCCUCCCCUCCCCCACCUCAGCUGCUGUCACUUUUCUGGGAUUUCUGGGGGUUCAGGUAGCACCCCCACCCCAGAAUCUUCCUGAGCUCUCAUUCCCAGUGAACCAAACCCAUGGAAGCCAGAGAUGGAAAAGCCUAACCGGCCAGCGGAGGCAGCGUGGCUGCAGAGCACAUGAGGCCUGGCUAGGCUGUGUGACCUCGGCAAGGGACACCCCAC